GACGAACGCUGGCGGCGUGCUUAACACAUGCAAGUCGAACGAAGUGGCGCACGGGUGAGUAACGCGUAAGAAACCUGCCCUUCAGAGGGGGAUAACAGUUGGAAACGACUGCUAAUACAGCAUACUGAAGGAGGGGAGUGCGUCUGAUUAGCUAGUUGGAGGGGUAACGGCCCACCAAGGCGAUGAUCAGUAGCCGUGCGGAAAGGCUGAACGGCCACAUUGGGACUGAGACACGUCCCAGACUCCGACGGGAGGCAGCAGUGGGGAAUCUUCCGGAAUGGACGAAAGUCUGACGGAGCAACGCCGCGUGGGUGAUGACGGCCUUCGGGUUGUAAAGCUCUGUUAAUCGGGACGCGGUACCGGAAUAGAAAGCCACGGCUAACUACGUGCCAGCAGCCGCGGUAAUUC
rnacentral:rRNA from 1 species